rnacentral:rRNA from 1 species
GAUGAACGCUGGCGGCGUGCCUAAUACAUGCAAGUCGAGCGAACAGACGAGGAGCUUGCUCCUCUGACGUUAGCGGCGGACGGGUGAGUAACACGUGGAUAACCUACCUAUAAGACUGGGAUAACUUCGGGAAACCGGAGCUAAUACCGGAUAAUAUAUUGAACCGCAUGGUUCAAUAGUGAAAGACGGUUUUGCUGUCACUUAUAGAUGGAUCCGCGCCGCAUUAGCUAGUUGGUAAGGUAACGGCUUACCAAGGCAACGAUGCGUAGCCGACCUGAGAGGGUGAUCGGCCACACUGGAACUGAGACACGGUCCAGACUCCUACGGGAGGCAGCAGUAGGGAAUCUUCCGCAAUGGGCGAAAGCUUGACGGAGCAACGCCGCGUGAGUGAUGAAGGUCUUCGGAUCGUAAAACUCUGUUAUUAGGGAAGAACAAAUGUGUAAGUAACUAUGCACGUCUUGACGGUACCUAAUCAGAAAGCCACGGCUAAGUACGUG